rnacentral:rRNA from 1 species
GAUGAACGCUGGCGGCGUGCCUAAAACAUGCAAGUCGAGCGGUAAGGCUCCUUCGGGAGUACACGAGCGGCGAACGGGUGAGUAACACAUGAGCAAUCUGCCCUUCACUUUGGGAUAACUCCGGGAAACCGGUGCUAAUACCGAAUGCGACCACUUCAGGCAUCUGACGGUGGUGGAAAGUUCCGGCGGUGAAGGAUGAGCUCGCGGCCUAUCAGCUUGUUGGUGAGGUAAUGGCUCACCAAGGCUUCGACGGGUAGCCGGCCUGAGAGGGUGACCGGCCACACUGGGACUGAGACACGGCCCAGACUCCUACGGGAGGCAGCAGUGGGGAAUAUUGGACAAUGGGCGAAAGCCUGAUCCAGCAAUACCGCGUGAAUGAUGAAGGCCUUAGGGUUGUAAAGUUCUUUUAGUUGGAAAGAUAAUGACGGUACCAACAGAAAAAGCCCCGGCUAACUCCGUG